CUCAUUGACAGCUUCUCCCUCGAAGAGCUCUUCAGCACCAUCAAGGCAUUCAGAGACCUCUUCCUUCGAACCCUCAAGGAGAACGAAGGUCACAGGGAGCAGGAGAAGAGGAGGAAGAGGUUGGAGGAAGGGAGGAAACUGAGAGAAGAAGCCCCCACCAGAAAGAUCAGCAAGUCAGACACCAUUAUUUCACCUUAAAUCCUCCCUCCUUAAAUGGAGAGACAGGUGUCCCUCACCUGUCUCUCCAGGUGUGGCAGGUGAAGGACAGGUCAAGUGCAAGUGGAGAACAGUUAGGACAGACAUGGCCAAUUGGGACGAAGGAUGCACCGUCGACAACCUGCUGGCCGAGAUCAGGAAGGGCUGCAGGCUGAGGAAGACAAGCCCACGGGCAGAGCCGGACGGUGG
ensembl:lncRNA